AUUGAAUCCAAUUCUGAUUUCAGCUUUCCUGUUUUCCAUAAUUUUAGUUUGAGCUUUCCAUUAUUUUGAUGCAACAAACUAUUACGUGGCUUCUUUGCAAACAGCUUGAUAGUAGAAAUCUGCAUCGUGUGUUAUAUGGCACUCAAGCCUUUCCCCUGCCACAGAUUUCCCCCCUUUACAGCUGCAAGAGGAAGAUGGCAUAAAUACAGUAAUUAAUGUACAGAAACAAACAAGUUCAGAAUGUGGCCAUCUGUCUGGAUUUUGACAAUUCUUAGCUAAUUUUUAAACAACUUUCUUUCGUAAGAUAUCCUAGUUAACAAAAGCAAACAACAAGAUGUGUAUCAGGUAAUUUGUAUGCAUUUUAGUCCCAUACUCACAUCUUUAAUUUAAAAAUUAAUUUUACAUGUAUUUGCUUUUCAAGACUUGCAUUUUCUAAAUUAUAAACAUUCAGUAUUUUAAUAUCACAAAUGAUUUAGUCACUGGAUGAAGCUUAUCACUUUCUCACAAUGUUAAACAUUUUCUAUCAAACACUGCAUCAAGGAAACAAAUUCCAUUUUAAAAAUUUCAAUUAAAAGAAAAGUACUAUGGCAAAGUUCCAGUACAUUUGGAUCUUGAAAUAAAUUUAAUUAUUAAAAAUUUAUGUGUUUCAGUUUUUCCUGGCCCUGUUAUCCAGUUUACAGAUAGACAUAUCUGGUCCCAUUUACAAUCCUCAUUUGCAAGAUUAUUUUUUCAAGAGUGUGUUUGUACAAGCAAAAUUUUAUUUGCUCCAUAUCCUUUAUAUGUAAAGUAGAAAUUUCAGCAUUUAAACUUAAUGAAGUAAAAUGCUCUACUUGAAAGGUGAAAGGCACAUAUCCAGUACUAUUACACUGAACUGAAAAAACAAGAUUUGUAAUUCCCAGUCAUCUGCUAUAUCAAAACAAUGCUAAAAAAAAAAAAAAUUGCUUCAACUGUAGCUUCCUCCUCCCCCAAUCUAUUACUUUGAAAGAGUACUGCCAAAAGUAUUUAAUGGGUAACUACUUUUAAACUACAGAUGUGUUACUAGUUUACUAAAUGAAGUUUCAUGUCUUGUAUGAGAAUACAAAUUCUAUUAAUUCUUUAAACAUGCUCAGAAUCCUAAAUAUUUUACUUUCAUCCAAUUAAAAACUUUUAUUGUUGUAAAAUUAGGAGAGAGUGAUCUAAACUGCCAUCUUCUGUAAUGUAGUCUGUAUAACUUUAACAGUAAAAAGAAAGGUAUGUUUGUAGCCAUGUGCUGAUUACACUUUAAAAAAGGGACUGCCCACGUAUCUAAAACAUCGGUGGUCUUAAUUCUACAGCAGAAAAUAAGGUGCUUUAAACAAUACAUAGAAUCAACAGUCUUUGUGCUAUCAUAUUCUGCAUUAAGAUUACUCCCAAGAAGCUAUUUUCAGAUAAAGCAAUUCUAUUAUAAAAUGUUCAUGGGACCAGACUUCUACAUUGUCCAAUUAUACAAUAUGUAAAAAUCAGUUACUGGGUGCUCUGUUUUCAGUUACUCUUUUUUCAGCUGUGAACAUCUAUGCAGUUACUGUGAAUGAUUUAUGUGUUGUUUUUUUAAUAAAAAACUACUUUCGUAAGAGAAAAAACUUUCAAA